UACGGAGGAGGCAAGCGUUAUCCGGAAUUAUUGGGCGUAAAGCGUCCGCAGGUGGCACUUCAAGUCUGUCGUCAAAGACUGGGGCUUAACCCUGGAAAGGCGGUGGAAACUGAAGCGCUAGAGUGCGGUAGGGGUAGAGGGAAUUCCCGGUGUAGCGGUGAAAUGCGUAGAGAUCGGGAAGAACAUCGGUGGCGAAGGCGACUACCUGGCCUGUUCUUGACGCUGAGGCGCGAAAGCUAGGGGAGCAAACGGG
rnacentral:rRNA from 1 species